rnacentral:rRNA from 1 species
ACCGGAAGGUGUGCUUGGAAA